rnacentral:rRNA from 1 species
GCCACGCUGGGCGGCUAGUAAUGCAGUCGAGCGGACAGAUGGGAGCUUGCUCCCUGAUGUUAGCGGCGGACGGGUGAGUAACACGUGGGUAACCUGCCUGUAAGACUGGGAUAACUCCGGGAAACCGGGGCUAAUACCGGAUGGUUGUUUGAACCGCAUGGUUCAAACAUAAAAGGUGGCUUCGGCUACCACUUACAGAUGGACCCGCGGCGCAUUAGCUAGUUGGUGAGGUAACGGCUCACCAAGGCAACGAUGCGUAGCCGACCUGAGAGGGUGAUCGGCCACACUGGGACUGAGACACGGCCCAGACUCCUACGGGAGGCAGCAGUAGGGAAUCUUCCGCAAUGGACGAAAGUCUGACGGAGCAACGCCGCGUGAGUGAUGAAGGUUUUCGGAUCGUAAAGCUCUGUUGUUAGGGAAGAACAAGUACCGUUCGAAUAGGGCGGUACCUUGACGGUACCUAACCAGAAAGCCACGGCUAACUACGUGCCAGCAGCCGCGGUAAUACGUAGGUGGCAAGCGUUGUCCGGAAUUAUUGGGCGUAAAGGGCUCGCAGGCGGUUUCUUAAGUCUGAUGUGAAAGCCCCCGGCUCAACCGGGGAGGGUCAUUGGAAACUGGGGAACUUGAGUGCAGAAGAGGAGAGUGGAAUUCCACGUGUAGCGGUGAAAUGCGUAGAGAUGUGGAGGAACACCAGUGGCGAAGGCGACUCUCUGGUCUGUAACUGACGCUGAGGAGCGAAAGCGUGGGGAGCGAACAGGAUUAGAUACCCUGGUAGUCCACGCCGUAAACGAUGAGUGCUAAGUGUUAGGGGGUUUCCGCCCCUUAGUGCUGCAGCUAACGCAUUAAGCACUCCGCCUGGGGAGUACGGUCGCAAGACUGA